UCCUGAUGGCUCACAUGAAGUUUCGUGCCGUUCCGACCUCGUUUGAUACGGUUAUGGUUAACCACACGGCCCCUCGGGCCCGACCCGAGCCCAGUCAACGUUUUGACCCGAUCAAAUCGGCCCGUGACCCGAAACGACCCUACUUGGGCCCUACAACAGCCACGUAAAGUUUCGGGAUGAUCCGACGUUCUUUCAUGGGGUUACGGACAAUCCACGCCAAACAAGCGUCACGGGCCGACCGAGCCGGGCCAACGGGCCCUCGGGACCCGAAAACUGAAUUUUUUUUCAUCCAAACCCAUUAAAACACGUUACCGAGGUCUCACGCAAAAUUUCAUGCCAAUCCGACGUCGUUUGAUGGGGUUUUGAGAUAUUAUGAUUCCUCAAAAAUUUAAUGUCUGUUCCUGUCACUUAGCUUUUUGUGCAAAAUGUAUAUAUAGGGGAGGGGUGGGUGUUGAGCAGCCCAUGCCCGGGCAAGGCAUGCCAGCGCCCAAGCCAAAGGAGGCUGGUGGCGUGCGUAUAACAGCUCAAAUGCCCCAACGAUGACCGAGAACAAGCGCCCAUCUCCCCUCCUUCCCCCCCACCAAGCGCCCCUCCCCCCCAUGUUGCCUGCCCACUCGCACAGCUACUCGUGAUUUCAUGCCCAGCGACUAGUGAAUGUGCCUCGACGACCAGCAAACCUCGAAAAUUAUGAUUCCUCGUAAAAUUAAUGUCUGUUCCUGUCACUUUACUUUUUGUGCAAAAUGUAUAUAUAGGGGAGACCAGGGGCUUGAGCAACCCCUGUGCCCAAGCAAGGGUCAGAUGGAAGCACACGAGACGCGAGGUUUAAAGCCUAUACAAGCAAGGCGUCUGUCUCCCCAAGCCCCAUUGCCUAUAAAACAAGCCCGAUGCCUUGUAAAUGCCCCACACGAUGCCUAUAAACGACAACGAUGUUUGCUAGUUAAUCGAUCGACGCCCCACACCUUGCAGCAUGUUGCCUAGUAAACAAGCCAUGCUGCCUUGGAAGCGCCCCACAUCAUGGCAUGUUGCCUAGCACGCUGCCCUUGUUUCCAGCACGGCGACCUGAAAGCGUGGCCUGACGACGUGCUUGCCUUCGAAAAUUAUGAUUCCUCAAAAAAUUAAUGUCUGUUCCUGUCACUUUACUUUUUGU
rnacentral:rRNA from 1 species